GCAGCACAGCAGCGAACUCCCAUCUCUUUCUUCUCUUCUUCUUGCGAUUCCCCUGAGAACAACUCCUUCUUAGCUCUUAUGGGAAAUCAUUCCCAAAAUACCCAAAAUGUUUCUCUCUCCUUUUAUUUCUUCUUCUUCCCGUGGGAUUUGUCCUGAGAGAGAUGGGUUCAUGGGGUCCGUCUCCUCCCCUUUUAUAGCUGCAAGCUCCCCCUCCCUCCUCCUCUGUUUCUUCACGUAGGUGGGAGGAUAAGGUUGUCAAGGGUUGAUCUGAUCUGCUGCGUAUCUGAUCCGGAUGCUGGGGAGAGCAUGAGCUGUGAGCUAAUCGCGGAGUACUCAGACGCCGAAGUUGAUCUUGCGAACGGGAAGAAGCUUGAAGUUGGUUAGCAGCGGGAUAAGGAUGGAAUUGAUCCGGCAAGAGGUUGGGAUACUGAGAUUUACUGGGAUUGGAGCUUAUCCGUGGAUGAAUGAAUCAAUCCAAACGGGAAGAAGGCCGUGGACGUGGAGGGAACUUGGACGCGAAACUUCACGCGGAACAGGGGAUGCGGGUGAAGCUCACGGCUGGCAGCUGGGAGUUGAAGCUUAGAUCGAAUCCGUAGGAGGUUGGGUUGUCGCCGUUGGCUGGAUGUGGAUGAGAAGAAAUCUGGGAGAUUUGGAAGCAGGGGAGAUGAAGAUGGAGAAGAUACGUAGGCUGCUGGGUUCAUACGGACGGAAGGGAAGAUGACUUGGACCUUAUCCGUGGGAGAUAAGCAUGGCUGGAGAUGAAGCUAAUCCAAGCUGGAUGAAGAGAAGAUUGGAAGCAAUCGGGAGGACGCUUGGCUUGAUUUGGAAGUUGGGAAAGAUGCGGAGAGGAUGGAACUGGAUCGUGGAUGCAGGAGAUUUCGGAACGUUGCGAAGAAACGAGGAGUGCUCUGUUUGCUGGACACAAGGGAUGAGGAUGAAUCGAAUUUGAUUUGCGGUUGUGGAUAAUCUCAAUCCGGAACACUAGGUUGAUAGUUUCGAAGCAGGGGAAGAUGCAUUAGGAUGCCGUGAAGCUCGGGAAGAAAGCUAUCGUGGAGAGGAUGGGAUCUGAACAUCGGCUGAAACGAGAUCCUUUGAUGCUCACGGGAUGGAAAGAGAUCUUUGGGUGAUGCGGACGAAAUCUGGGAGGAGGUGACGUGGAAGAUAAACACGGCCGCGAGGGAAAUUUGGGAAGAGGUGACCGGCCUGAUCCGAAGAAGAGGAUGUUGAACCGUGAGCUGGGAGAUGCUUUUGCAUGCAUCACGGGAGGCUACGGACGGCUGGAAACGAGCUCUGAGGAUGUUGAGAGGAUCUCGGCAGGGAGGAGCUGAGAUUUAUUUGGGAGAAAGGAUUUUAGUUGGAGAUGAUAAGGAAGAAGAGAAUCGUGAGCCAUGAUGGUCGGCU
rnacentral:lncRNA from 1 species